rnacentral:lncRNA from 1 species
AGACCAGCCUGGCCAACAUGGUGAAACCCUGUCUCUACCAAAAAUACAAAAAAAACAAUGUACCGGGCAUGGUGGCACGCAUCUGUAAUCCCAGCUACUCGGGAGGCUGAGGCACGAGAAUCGCUUGAACUCAGGAGGUGGAGGUUGCAAUGAGCCAAGAUCCCACCACUGCCCUCCAGCCUGGACUAUAGAUUCUUGUUCUAGGUGCUGGUGAUAGAACUGUGAACCAAAGGUCAUUGCCUUCAAGGAGUUUAUAUUCAAGUGGAGAAGAUGGAAAACCCUCCCCUCACAAACAAACAGACUCUGAAACCUGAUAAAUAAAUAUUAGCA